AUGAAGGAGCAUUACGAGACUGAGAACUUCAAACUGAAAAAUACGAUGCAGGCCCUGGAGAGGAGGGUGCAGGAGCUGGAGCUGUGCAGUGCCAGCGUGACUUGGGAGCGAGAUUCCCUGCGGGAGCGCCUGCGCGCCCUGGAGAGCAGCCGGCAGGAGCUGGGGGAGGAGUUCAUCAUCCUGAAGAGCAAUUACCUGGCCCUGGGCAGAGAGCUGGACCAGGAGGUGAGAGGGGCCACACUGCUCAUCCCAGAGCUCGUGCCAGGGCUUAUCCCAGAGAUCCCAGCUCACCUCACAUUUCCCUGCUGUGGGGGCACCUUGCUUGGCUUUUGGUUGUGCAUCCCCAUCACAGCUCAGGCCGAGGGAGGCUGCUCAUAAAAUUGUACAAAAGUUCUUGUUGAAGUGACCUCUUAAAGGCCACCAAGUCCACAAAAACCAUCCAGUGCCACCCCUGCCAUGGGCAGGGACACCUUCCACCAUCCCAGGCUGCUCCAAGCCCCAUCCAGCCUGGCCUUGGGCACUUCCAGGGAUCCAGGGGCAGCCACAGCUUCUCUGGGCACCCUGUGCCAGGGCCUGCCCACCCUCCCAGGGAACAAUUCCUUCCCAAUAUCCCAUCCAUCCCUGCCCUCUGGCACUGGGAAGCCAUUCCCCCUUGUCCUGUCCCUCCAUCCCUUGUCCCAAGUCCCUCUGCAGCUCUCCUGGAGCCCCUUUAGGCCCUGGAAGGGGCUCUGAGGUGUCCCUGGAGCCUUCUCCUCUCCAGGUGAGCACCCCCAGCUCUCCCAGCCUGGCUCCAGAGGGGCUCCAGCCCUUGGGGAAUCUCCAUGGGCUCCUCUGGACUCUCUCCAGCAGCUCCACGUCCUGCUGCUGUUGGCCCCAGGGCUGGAGGCAGCUCUGCAGGUGGGGUCUCACCCGAGGGGGCAGAAUCCCCCCCUCCCCACUCUGGGGGCUCAGCCCAGCACGGGGGGUUCAGGGUCCCAGCACACACAGCCAGGACUUGUGCAGCCUCUGAGCCUGGGAUUGUCUCCAGGGAUUUGGAGAUGUAACCCAGCUCCAUCUCACAGGGUGUGUGGGACCUGCCCUUGCUGUGGGGACAGGGCUGGGGACAGGGCUGGGGACAGAGUGGGACAGAGAGGGAAAGGGCUGGCACAGAGGGGGACAGAAGGGGACAGAGGGGCACAGGGCUGGCACAGAGGAGGACAGAGGGGGACAGGGCUGGGGACAGAGGGGGACAGAGGGGCACAGGGCUGGCACAGAGCGGGACAGAGGGGGACAGGGCUGGCACAGAGGGGGACAGGGCUGGCACAGAGGGGGACAGAGGGGGACAGGGCUGGCACAGA
rnacentral:lncRNA from 1 species